rnacentral:rRNA from 1 species
AGAACGAACGCUGGCGGCAUGCCUAAUACAUGCAAGUCGAACGAACUCUUCGGAGUUAGUGGCGCACGGGUGCGUAACGCGUGGGAAUCUGCCCCUUGGUUCGGAAUAACAGUUGGAAACGACUGCUAAUACCGGAUGAUGACGAAAGUCCAAAGAUUUAUCGCCAAGGGAUGAGCCCGCGUAGGAUUAGCUAGUUGGUGAGGUAAAGGCUCACCAAGGCAACGAUCCUUAGCUGGUCUGAGAGGAUGAUCAGCCACACUGGGACUGAGACACGGCCCAGACUCCUACGGGAGGCAGCAGUAGGGAAUAUUGGACAAUGGGCGAAAGCCUGAUCCAGCAAUGCCGCGUGAGUGAUGAAGGCCUUAGGGUUGUAAAGCUCUUUACCCGAGAUGAUAUGACAGUAUACGGAGAAUAACGCCCCGACUAACUCCGUCGCCAGCAGCCGC